ACUAUUUUGGCAGAUAAGUGCCCUAGAUUUAGAAUCUGGUUAUGUAAACUAUUUACAAAUAGUA
rnacentral:tRNA from 1 species